rnacentral:rRNA from 1 species
AUUGAACGCUGGCGGCAUGCCUAACACAUGCAAGUCGAACGAGUGGCGGACGGGUGAGUAAUAUAUGGGAAACUGCCUGGUGGAGGGGGAUAACUACUGGAAAGGGUAGCUAAUACCGCAUACUAUGGGAUCCGCCGAGAUGGGAUUAGCUAGUGGGUGGGGUAAAGGCUCACCUAGGCGACGAUCCUUAGCUGGUUUGAGAGGAUGACCAGCCACACUGGGACUGAGACACGGCCCAGACUCCUACGGGAGGCAGCAGUGGGGAAUAUUGUACAAUGGGCGAAAGCCUGAUGCAGCCAUGCCGCGUGUAUGAAGAAGGCCUUCGGGUUGUAAAGUACUUUCAGCAGGGAGGCGUUACCCGCAGAAGAAGCACCGGCUAACUCCGUGCCAGCCGCCGCGGUAAUAC